GCAGCAGCUGGUUCUAUCGCCUCGUGAUUUUCUAUAGAUUGCGGGGAGGAAAGUCCGGGCAACAAUGGGUGCCGUACUGCUGAAAGGCAGAUAUCCGUGAGGGUAUAAUAGCAAAGAAGAAAAUAACCGUCUGCCGGAUCACAAUGAAGGCGGAUAAGGGUGAGAAGGUGGGGUAAGAGCUCACCAGUGCAGCAGGCGACUGUUGCAGCUGUUUGCAUUACGGGUUGCAAGGCCAUGUAUACCGGUGCCUGAAGGUGACCCGCCUGAACCGGGGGGUAGGCCGCUAAGAUAAAUGAUAGAAGGUUUGUUGGUUAAGGAAAUCAACAAAUCACAGAACCCGGCUUAUACAACUGCUGUAAAA
rnacentral:RNase_P_RNA from 1 species